AAGCUUGCUUCUAUCGAUCCUCUUUUGAACAUCAGUGGCCAGACAUUGGAUCAAUGUUUGAGCUGCAUAGGCGGGACACCGCCGUCUUCGUUUCUCUUUCUUCGCGGACGAACACACGCUGGGGCGUGCUCGUGCUGCUUAUUGGCGUUUGAUCGCAAGAUCAUGUCGAUGAGCCGAGCGCAGUCCUUUGUUGUUAGGGCUUGUAGCUCAGUUGGUUAGAGCGCGCGCUUGAUAAGCGUGAGGUCGGAAGUUCAAGUCUUCCCAGGCCCACCAUAUUUGCGCGCUUUGAAUUGAGCUGCUGCUGACGUCGACUUUGCAUCUGCAAAACGUACUCUUCAUUGAGCGUUGAGCAUUCGUCUUCUGGAACGGGGGCAUAGCUCAGCUGGGAGAGCGCGUGCUUUGCAAGCAUGAGGUCGUCGGUUCGAUCCCGUCUGCCUCCACCAGAAACUAAGGUGUUGGCGAUGGUAUCAAAACAACUUCACAAACAUUCAGUGUGUUCACAGUGAGCGCUAUACGAGCUGCUCCUGAUUAGUCCGCGUAUAUAACUUCGCUUGCGACAGUCUGUGGACGUCGCUUGCGGGAUUUAUGACAUCGUAAAGAGGAGAUCGUUCCCGAGGUUCGGGGUGUGCAAGCAAUUGCGGAUGCCGAUAUCAUAAAUCUCCCAGGAAUUUGAGUGCGAACGCUUUGCUUGCAAAGCUUCCGCAUCUGCAAUUCCUUUUUCAACGAAGCUUGACCGCCUCGUUGUCGGUCGAUCUUACGAAGCAAACUGGGUCUUUCUAAAUCAUAUCCAGCUGCAUGAAGUGCGCACGGCUUGACCGCCCGGCGUGCGGAUUUUGCGUUUCCCAAUUCGUUGGGUUGCGCAAGCAGCGUGCAGCAACUCUGCCGAGUGU
rnacentral:tRNA from 1 species